rnacentral:rRNA from 1 species
AUUGAACGCUGGCGGCAGGCCUAACACAUGCAAGUCGAUCGCGCGGCGGACGGGGGAGUAAUAUAUGGGGGCUGCCCGAGAGAGGGGGAUAACUCCUGGAAACGGUGGCUAAUACCGCAUACUGUCGCAUAACCCAUAUGGGAUUAGCUAGUAGGUAAGGUAAUGGCUUACAUAGGCGACGAUCCCUAGCUGGUCUGAGAGGAUGAUCAGCCACACUGGGACUGAGACACGGCCCAGACUCCUACGGAGGCAGCAGUGGGGAAUAUUGCACAAUGGGCGCAAGCCUGAUGCAGCCAUGCCGCGUGUAUGAAGAGGGCCCUAGGGUUGUAAAGUACUUUCAGUCGGGAGGCGUUACCGACAGAAGAAGCACCGGCUAACUCCGUGCCAGCAGCCGCGGUAAUUC